UGGGGAAUUUUGGACAAUGGGCGAAAGCCUGAUCCAGCAAUGCCGCGUGUGUGAAGAAGGCCUUCGGGUUGUAAAGCACUUUUGUCCGGAAAGAAAUCCUUGGCUCUAAUACAGUCGGGGGAUGACGGUACCGGAAGAAUAAGCACCGGCUAACUACGUGCCAGCAGCCGCGGUAAUACGUAGGGUGCAAGCGUUAAUCGGAAUUACUGGGCGUAAAGCGUGCGCAGGCGGUUUUGCUAAGACCGAUGUGAAAUCCCCGGGCUCAACCUGGGAACUGCAUUGGUGACUGGCAGGCUAGAGUAUGGCAGAGGGGGGUAGAAUUCCACGUGUAGCAGUGAAAUGCGUAGAGAUGUGGAGGAAUACCGAUGGCGAAGGCAGCCCCCUGGGCCAAUACUGACGCUCAUGCACGAAAGCGUGGGGAGCAAACAGGAUUAGAUACCCUGGUAGUCCACGCCCUAAACGAUGUCAACUAGUUGUUGGGGAUUCAUUUCCUUAGUAACGUAGCUAACGCGUGAAGUUGACCGCCUGGGGAGUACGGUCG
rnacentral:rRNA from 1 species